UACAGAGGUGGCAAGCGUUGUUCGGAAUUACUGGGCGUAAAGGGCGCGUAGGCGGUUGCCUAAGUCGGACGUGAAAUCCCCAAGCUUAACUUGGGAACUGCAUCUGAUACUGGGUGACUUGAGUUCGGGAGAGGAAUGUGGAAUUCCAGGUGUAGCGGUGAAAUGCGUAGAUAUCUGGAGGAACACCGGUGGCGAAGGCGGCAUCCUGGACCAACACUGACGCUGAGGAGCGAAAGCCAGGGGAGCAAACGGG
rnacentral:rRNA from 1 species